rnacentral:rRNA from 1 species
GUUGGGGUGGGGCUGCUAUACAUGCAGUCGAGCGGAUGAUGAAGAAGCUUGCUUCUUCUGAUUUUAGCGGCGGACGGGUGAGUAACACGUGGGCAACCUACCUUGUAGAUUGGGAUAACUCCGGGAAACCGGGGCUAAUACCGAAUAAUCCAUUUUGCUUCAUGGCGAAAUGUUGAAAGGCGGCUUCGGCUGUCACUACGAGAUGGGCCCGCGGCGUAUUAGCUAGUUGGUAGGGUAAUGGCCUACCAAGGCGACGAUACGUAGCCGACCUGAGAGGGUGAUCGGCCACACUGGGACUGAGACACGGCCCAGACUCCUACGGGAGGCAGCAGUAGGGAAUCUUCCACAAUGGACGAAAGUCUGAUGGAGCAACGCCGCGUGAGUGAAGAAGGUUUUCGGAUCGUAAAACUCUGUUGUAAGGGAAGAACACGUACGAGAGUAACUGCUCGUACCUUGACGGUACCUUAUUAGAAAGCCACGGCUAACUACGUGCCAGCAGCCGCGGUAAUACGUAGGUGGCAAGCGUUGUCCGGAAUUAUUGGGCGUAAAGCGCGCGCAGGCGGUUCUUUAAGUCUGAUGUGAAAGCCCACGGCUCAACCGUGGAGGGUCAUUGGAAACUGGAGAACUUGAGUACAGAAGAGGAAAGCGGAAUUCCACGUGUAGCGGUGAAAUGCGUAGAGAUGUGGAGGAACACCAGUGGCGAAGGCGGCUUUCUGGU